rnacentral:lncRNA from 1 species
UCAGUUGCCUCCCUCUCUCCGCCCUAUAACUGAAAAAAAGGAGCACGGCGAAAAGCCAACCUUCUUUUUUUUUAUUCGUUUGACGAGGGAUUAAGUACUGAAUUAAUGAAAUUACACCUAUAUCGCGAAAAAGAGCUGCUCUAGCUUUAGCGCGCACCCUUUCUCCUAUGAGGAAAGUUACUCUUUCCGAUUCAUGUCUGGCCCUUCCUGGGUCUGGAUCACAGUAUACCGGCGACUUUGUCCUUGAAUUCAUUCUAUUUCAUAUCCACCGAUCCGUGGAAGAGACCAAGGAAGAGUAAGAUAGAUUUAGGGCUGAGUUUGUUCUCUGGGACUCACACGACAGCCUAAACUCAGGUUACGAAGUAAUAAAUCAGCCAUUGAAUAGAACUAUGAUCGGAGAAUAGCACUGAUCGGACCCAGUUCACAACCUAGGAUAGCUAACGCUACCUUGCCUGAAGACAUGGGAUUGCCGUAGAAGUCUCAUGCCAAGCAAGUUCUUGCCUCCUCUUCCUCUACCUAUCUCGGGUAAGCUACAUCCAUACAUAGUCUAAGCCUCUGAUUGACUGUACUAGGUACGGAAUCUUAGUCCCAAGAGUUCUGCAGAAACGGGCUUAGAAAGGGCGGUCCUAUAUCAACUUAGUUGAUAAAGGCAGGUAGUACCCAG